rnacentral:rRNA from 1 species
CAGCCGCCGCGGGAAUACCAGCACCUCGAGUGGUCAGGAGGUUUAUUGGGCCUAAAGCAUCCGUAGCCGGUUGCAUAAGUUUUCGGUUAAAUCUAUGCGCUUAACGUAUAGGCCGCCGAAAAUACUGUGCAGCUAGGGAGUGGGAGAGGUACACGGUACUCGAUAGGAAGGGGUAAAAUCCUUUGAUCUAUUGAUGACCACCUGUGGCGAAGGCGGUGUACCAGAACACGUUCGACGGUGAGGGAUGAAAGCUGGGGGAGCAAACCGGAUUAGAUACCCCAGUAGUCCCUGUCUCUUAUAA